GUCAAUGUGGCAUAGUGGUUUAUGUGUUGGACUAGGACUCUGGAGAUCAGGCUUUGAAUCCCUGCUCAGCCA